GAUCUCUCUUAAAGUAUUCUGAUAGUACAAUUGAUGGCUGGAACAGCAAACUGAAUAUUGUGGCAGAUAAAACAGUAGUAUGCCUUAAUCAUUAUACAUGCCAACCACAGUUUUUGAAAGGAAUUGCUAAUUUUAACUCUGCAAGAAAUCCUUACUUAAGGAUUAUGCAAAUUAAAUUUCAGUGAAUCCCAACACUGCGUCCACAAUCCAUAAGAGUAAAUUAGUUUUAGUUUCUGGCAACUAUAGCACUUACAUAUUAGCCUUUUUCUUAGCGUGUGUCCCAUGUGUGGGCUCCCACUGUUUAAACAAGUAUGCAAGUACACACUUAGAGAAAUCAAAAGACUAAGACUUUAUUACAAAUAGUUAUAGUCACUGUCCAUUAUCAGUAGACCAAUGACUACUUAGAGAUUGUGUAGCUGGCAAAUCAUGUACUACACAAUUCUUAUCACUGUCUAGUUGUAGCAAGUUUAUUUUUUCAAAAAUUAACACUUAUCCCCUAGAACAUAGGAAUAGAAGAAAAAGUCAAACUUACGCAGGUGGCAAAACAUCUGAUAUUUUCAAAAUCACGAUAAAAGUCAGCAAUGCAGAUGCACAAAUGAUAGGACCAGGUUUUUCAAGUACUACUUGAGAGAAGCACUACCACUUAGCUGCAGAUACUCUGAUUAAAUUAAAUGAUUCAUCUUUUAAGGCGCUGUUUAAAUCUGAAUUUCCCUAUUCACAUGAUGAGAAAGGGCUUCAUGUGUCACCAAUUACAGUGACCUUGCUCACCGGUGAUAGAGAAUGGAAUAUAAUGCAGUUUCAGCUAUAGCCUCCAUUAUAAUAUGGACAGGAUUAAACAUGACAGAAAAUUGAUCAUUUUCCAGAUAGUUUAGGCCAGUCACAGAGUAAUCAAUCAGGCUGUUGUACAAUUGAUGACACAGAGGUCAGACAGUCCAUAUAACUAGGUUCUUUUUCAUCAUACUAUAGUUCACCCAGGUAAUUCAGUCAUUAUGACAGCCAAAAUUUGUGAUUGAUUAGGUGAUUUUCAGUUCAGUUCUGAGACAGCCGACAUCAACCCCACUGUUUACCAUUCAGUACAUUACUUUUCCAUUUGAAAUGAAACUGUCUCCAAGUAAAUAAUAAUUUUUGAGGCCAAAUAGCUUUAAUAGCUGCUGAGUGGAAAUGCUGGCUGAAGACCCAUCAAUCUAGCUUAAUCCUAGUACUGCUUUAAUCCACCUCCACAUGUGCUUUGGUUUCAAAGGAACUAAACAGUAAUAGUGGGACAGUAGAACUCUAAGAGUGCAACUAAUCUUUCCAAUUAAUUGUGCAAUGGCCAGACGGAGAAUUCAAAUCAUUAGACUGAUUAAUAAAAAUCAAAAAUUAAGUUAAAUUCACGUAAUCCAGAUCUCCAAAACAAUGUUCAACUGUAACAUAGCCUGGGGGUCUCUUUCAGUUAUGAAGAUUCCCUUAAGAAGAUGCCACUUAAAAAGAAUUUUAAAGGGCUCAUGGCAGCAGGAUGAAACACAGUGGGAGUUUAUUCCUAGCAGAGCAAAUUUCAGAAUCAUAGGUAGAAGGCCAUGCAAGGGCACACUGUGACCAAGGAAUGGCCCAUAGGUCAGCACAGUUGCAGCAAUGCAGGAGAUCCAGCCAGAGGGGUACACGUGGGUUUCAGACCUGAAUUAAAAAGCUAACGAUGCAUCAUUAAAGUAUGAUGAUGAUGAGUUUUAAGAAAGAGAGGUGCUCUGAAACACGUUUUAAAAUUACCCUACGGUAUCAUGCAGCGAGGAUUAAAGCAGGAUACGUCUGCAAAUACAAGCACUUACAGAAAAGGCCGCAGUCCAAUGAAGACAUAAAUUUGAACUUGGGCAAUAACUGGGAUGGUCAGGAAGGUUCAGAGAAGAGUUGUUUAAAAAGUUGAAUAAUGAGAUUUAAUGAUCAACUGAAAAUAGGCAAGGUAAAAAGAACAUUCUGGAACGAUAUCUAAACCUCUGCCUCUGCGGGAAAUACAUGUUCAGUUUGAGAUGAGAAACUUAAGGUUCCUGAGGUACUUUCAUAUGGAAGUCUCCAGUAGGCAGCUGAGAUAUAGGUUGUUGGACAUAUGAAUGAGCCGAUUAUUGGCAUACACAAGUGGUAGUUGAAGGCAUACAGGUGGGUGAGGCCACUUUGGGAAAGUAUACUCAAAGAGAAAAGUAACAGGACCCUGUGGAAUACCGAUAAGGCUACAGAAUACCAAAAAAAGGGGAAGUAAAAAGUGAUACAGGUCUGUUUCAUCAGAUAAGCUUUGACAUAACUAUAGUGGUACAAGAUAAUUAGUCAUUUUGACAGCCUAGCAUUUCUGCUCAUUUCGACAAUUACCAGUUCUACAUAGCAGGAACACUCUCCAAGCAGUCAAGGGUGGGGAGAAUUUCAAGUUGGCAGGAGUAAUCAGCAGUGGCAAAACCAUCAGGAGGUGGGUACUAACUACUGUGACGUGAAAAUGUUUACUAGGUACGUCUCUGUGGAGGUUUUUGUUGAAUCCAGCAGUAGUGGGCAGAACACACAUCCUGAUAAUACAAACGGACACUUGCUAUGUGUUGAAUUGUGUCUCCCAAAAGGCUAUGUGGCAGUUCUGAUGUCCAGGACCUCAGAAUGUGAUCUUGUUUGGAGAUGGGAUUGUUGCGGAUAUAAUCACUAUCACUACAUUAGGGUUAGUGUCCUUAUAAGCAAACAGCCAUGUGAAGACAUGUGUAAGGAGACCACCGUGAGAAUGACAGAGGCUGGAGUAACACAGCUGUAAAGCCAAGGAAUACUAAGAAUUGACAGCCGACACCAGAAGCUAAGGAGGAGAGCCAAGGAAGGAUUCUCGCCAGCCUCAGGAGGAACAUGGCCCUGCUAACACCUGGAUUUCAGACAACUAGCCUCAGGAAUAAAGCGAGAAUUCAUUUGCUGUUUUAAGGCACCACAUUCGUGGUGCACUGGUACAUUGUUACAGCAGCCCUGAGGUAAAGGGACAGUUCUGAACCAGGAUAUCCUUGAUCGCUUUUCACGUAGUCUCCUGAUCGUUGGAUAUCUAUGAUCUAAUUUCAGCAAAAGGUCUGAGUUAAUUCAAAUUUAAUUGAGAAAUCAUUCAUCUUUGUAUUUUUAAUCACAUGAUGUCAAUAAACAAGUUAACUGAAUUUAUACUUCAAAAAUAUAUAUAUUCUUCUUGUCGGGUGCCUUACUUAACCGUUGUUACACAUGGAAGGUUAACUAGAUAAUUAAAGUCGUUUCCUGGAAGAUUAAGGUCAGAAAAAAUAAUUAACCUGAAUCAUCUAGGUGAUAAAUUUUUUAAAAGAUAAAAAAGGGAGGAUCGGUGGUAUUUUCUCUUGACCUGUAUAUAAAAAUGCUUCUAUUUUCAGGUGACUUUUUUCAUGUAAGGAAUAUGCAAAAGUUCUAGUUUUUAAAGAUACCCAUUAAGCUCUCAGAGGUCUUACUUUUCACAUAUAUUUUUCAUUAUCACUGUAUCUCUCCUAGCAGCAAAGAAUAUUCUAAUAAUUUUUUUAGCUAGAAUACCGUAUCUUGAAGUUCUUGGAAUAACCUAUGUGUUUUAUGUUUGCAUUCUUUCAGGAGAGAAAAAUAUAUAUAUUUCAAGAAAGAAAAAAUAUAUCCAGCACCUGAGGCAAAAUGUAAGGAGAGAACGCGCCAACAAAUCUAACUUGCACAAUAAAUCUGUUCUGUCAGAUCCUUGACAGGCAUGUUUAUGUUGACCUCUUUUUGUUUGGAGAGGAAAGAAACUGGUGUUGAUCGAGGGUUACAGUAGAAUAAAAAAUAAAUUGGGACAUGAAAUAGCGACAUGGAUUCCCCCCCCCCCAACCCCGCCAUCCCCAGGUCAGGACUCUGUUUAUUUUUGUUAGUUUGUUAUGCUUAGAAAUGCAAACUGCAGUGAAUUUCCCUUUAUACUUUCUUACAAAUGAGAAAUAUUCCUUUCUUUGCAAGUUUCACGGAAGCUGGGAAUGCUAAUACAAUAAAUAUUUCAAUGCUUGAUUAUGGUUGUACCUGUCUUCACUAUUCAAAAUAUUUCAUUCUGACAAAUAAAAACCCUAA
rnacentral:lncRNA from 1 species